GCACUCACAUGGUGAUGGUUAUACAUCUCCUGCUUACCCCAACUUAGUGAAAGCUGUCUUCAAGCAAAUAAGACUGGCAGCAAGGCUGGGAGUGCAAUCACCUGCUGGCAUAAUCCCUGGACUCUUCUUAAAGGAAUUCUAAAAAGGGAAACUCAGGAAUGCCUACCUGACUGUCCAGAGAACUGCCAUCCAGAGGAGCAUCCUACAGCAGCACAAGCAUUUCAUCUUCUGGAUUUGUGGAGACAUGUGGGAUUUGUUCAUGCUGAAGGCAGGAGGAAGUCAAGGGAGAAAAAAAGAAUUCUGGGAGGAAACUUGGUAAAACCGAAGAUCCAAAGUGAAACAUCAGGAAACAUCACCAAAAUGAAGCCCGUUGGAUGUUUGCAGCUGUUUCUUUAGUCCUGAUUAACAGGGAUUUUCUGAGAAGAGCUGCACAAGUGCAGUCCCCAUUCAACGUACAGAUUUUCCAGAGUGAUCUCCAAGUUGUAAUGGACAACCUCUUUCCUGCCAGCAGAGCCCAGAGAGGAAUAAACCAAGACCACCAGCUAAGUCAUUGUGUAAUGUGCUGUGGAUAUGAGCAUCGAAUGCCCUCAGAAAACUGGAGUUGUUAUGAGAAUGGUGCAAAAGAAUCUUAUGAGAAAUAUCCAACAAAAUGUCCACUUCACGAUGUCACUUGCUCCGAGUUUCAAAAAAUCAUUAAAUAUAAUUACGCUAAUUUGGCAAUGACUCAGGACCAAAUCAUCCUUUUGCGGGAAUUACCUACGAAGGAAACUGGACGCUCCAUGGCAUCUGUGUCAUCCUUCCCUCCAGAUGGUGCCUCAAAAUCUGUUCUGAAAUGGCAUGUGCAAAGCAGACCCAGAGUGCCUAUCAUUCAGCCCUCUGAUGGCAACUCUCAGACAACUCGGGGACAGACAGAACACAAAACCAGAAAUAAGGACUUGCAACCGUGGCUGAAGAUGCCCAGAGAGUCGUGUAUGUAA
rnacentral:lncRNA from 7 species